rnacentral:rRNA from 1 species
GGGAAUUUUGCGCAAUGGGCGAAAGCCUGACGCAGCAACGCCGCGUGUGUGAUGAAGGUCUUCGGAUUGUAAAGCCCUUUCGACGGGGACGAUGAUGACGGUACCCGUAGAAGAAGCCCCGGCUAACUUCGUGCCAGCAGCCGCGGUAAUACGAAGGGGGCUAGCGUUGCUCGGAUUGACUGGGCGUAAAGGGCGCGUAGGCGGUUUGUACAGUCAGACGCGAAAUUCCUGGGCUCAACCUGGGGGCUGCGUUUGAUACGUAUGGACUUGAGUUCGGAAGAGGGUCGUGGAAUUCCCAGUGUAGAGGUGAAAUUCGUAGAUAUUGGGAAGAACACCGGUGGCGAAGGCGGCGACCUGGUCCGAUACUGACGCUGAGGCGCGAAAGCGUGGGGAGCAAAC